GAUGAACGCUGGCGGCGUGCCUAAUACAUGUAAGUCGAGCGAACGGACGAGAAGCUUGCUUCUCUGAUGUUAGCGGCGGACGGGUGAGUAACACGUGGAUAACCUACCUAUAAGACUGGGAUAACUUCGGGAAACCGGAGCUAAUAACGGAUAAUAUUUUGAACCGCAUGGUUCAAAAGUGAAAGACGGUCUUGCUGUCACUUAUAGAUGGAUCCGCGCUGCAUUAGCUAGUUGGUAAGGUAACGGCUUACCAAGGCAACGAUGCAUAGCCGACCUGAGAGGGUGAUCGGCCACACUGGAACUGAGACACGGUCCAGACUCCUACGGGAGGCAGCAGUAGGGAAUCUUCCGCAAAGGGCGAAAGCCUGACGGAGCAACGCCGCGUGAGUGAUGAAGGACUUCGGAUCGUAAAACUCUGUUAUUAGGGAAGAACAUAUGUGUAAGUAACUGUGCACAUCUUGACGGUACCUAAUCAGAAAGCCACGGCUAACUACGUG
rnacentral:rRNA from 1 species